rnacentral:tRNA from 1 species
GCCCGGGUGGCGAAAUUGGUAGACGCAAGGGACUUAAAAUCCCUCGGUGGCAACACCGUGCCGGUUCGAGCCCGGCCCCGGGCACCA